UCCACGUGGUCUGGUGGCGCUGGCGCUGCGCAGUCUGGAGCCGGCCGCGGCUCUGCUUUUGAAACUUGAAAGCGGGUCUGCGGGAAGAUGAACAAAGUUAAAGUCUCGGCUGGAGGACGCUUGUUCAGAACUGGGAAGGAGACAGAAGGCGCCUGGGUAAGCCGCAGGAUGGAGAAAAGGCAGGAGAGUCUGAAGAUGUCUGAGGCAGUGAGGGGUCAAGCUACUGAUGAGGAACCAAGCCCCUCCUGUCCAUUGCAGGGAAGUGGGUAAGUUCAGUCAAUCAUGGGAAUGCGGUGAUAUCUUGAACGUGUCCCUGAAUAUUUGGAAUGGGAUGUUCCCCAGUGAGUUCUGACAGGGGCCUGGUUCUGUAUGUUCCUGUGGUGGAGAGAAGAGUAUAGGAGAUGGCAGAGAGCCGGUGACGAGGGAAGGAGCCUACACCAGUGAGGACAGCAGGAACAAUGACAACUCCCGUAGCUGAUCACAGUGCUCGGAGACUUCCUGUUUCCAGUCAGUCGUUGAAGCUGUGCUUCCUGGGGCUCUGUUCCACCUUCUGGCCUUGUUGCAGGCGGAGAGGAGGGCAACAGUGGCUAAGUCACUGAAGUGCCGGGAACGGCAGGUGCAUCUGAAGAUGGCUGAUCGUGAGGUGGCGGGAACAGCAGGCACCUCUGAAGAGACAGCUGUGGUCGUGAGGUAGUGGGAAUGGCACAUGUAUCUGAAAGAUGGCUGUGGUCGUGAGUGUGGCUCCAGUAGACAUAACUUGGAGAGUGGCCCAUUCGGCCCAGCGGGUGUAUGCUAACCUCCCACAUUGGGAGCCCUGCUUGGCGUAAAGCUCAUGGAAACGGGAGGUUGAUGAUGGGCUACUGUAACUACCCACGGUCCACACUCAGCAUGGCUGUGCUGUGUCUGAUGGGGAAACAUUUCCCAUUUACUAAUGAGGGCCCAGCGGCCUUUCUGCGGCACGGAGGUGCAGUGAAGAGCUGGAGAGUCUAAAGGUGGCUGUGGCAGAGCUGGUGACAGAGGAAGCACCCUGGACCAUGGGAUCUCCAGCCCCAGAGGGGGAGGGCAAGAACAAUCAUGAUUCCCAUAGUGGCCUCUCUGUGCCUAGAUACAAUGGUAUUCUCUGCCUUCCUGCUUGCCAGGUGUCGCUAAGGGUUAAAAUGUUGACAGUGUUUCUAAAGUCUGUAAUAAACUUAAUAAAAUUG